rnacentral:rRNA from 1 species
UCCUAGAACUCAGCUAAUAAAUAAAAUCAAACCCUAGCUAAGCUGUAAAAAGCCCCAGCUACUGUAAGAUAUAUAACGAAAGUGAUUUUAAAAAGUCUGAUUACACGAUAGCUAAGACCCAAACUGGGAUUAGAUACCCCACUAUGCUUAGCUCUAAACACAAAAAAUUAUAAACAAAAUUAUUCGCCAGAGUACUACUAGCAAUAGCUUAAAACUCAAAGGACUUGGCGGUGCUUAUAUCCUUCUAGAGGAGCCUGUUCUAUAAUCGAUAAACCCCGAUCUACCUCACCAAUCUUUGCUAAAUCAGCCUAUAUACCGCCAUCUUCAGCAAACCCUAAAAAGGAAACAAAGUAAGCACAAGUAUAAACAUAAAAA